rnacentral:rRNA from 1 species
UACGGGAGGCAGCAGUGGGGAAUAUUGCACAAUGGGCGCAAGCCUGAUGCAGCCAUGCCGCGUGUAUGAAGAAGGCCUUCGGGUUGUAAAGUACUUUCAGUCGUGAGGAAGGUGUUAAGGUUAAUAACCUUAGCAAUUGACGUUAGCGACAGAAGAAGCACCGGCUAACUCCGUGCCAGCAGCCGCGGUAAUACGGAGGGUGCGAGCGUUAAUCGGAAUUACUGGGCGUAAAGGGCACGCAGGCGGUUAAUUAAGUUGGAUGUGAAAUCCCCGGGCUUAACCUGGGAAUGGCAUUCAAGACUGGUUAGCUAGAGUCUUGUAGAGGGGGUAGAAUUCCAUGUGUAGCGGUGAAAUGCGUAGAGAUGUGGAGGAAUACCGGUGGCGAAGGCGGCCCCUGGGACAAAGACUGACGCUCAUGUGCGAAAGCGUGGGGAGGCAAACAGGGAUUAGAUACC